GACAGAGGUCUCGAGCGUUAGGCGGAAUCACUGGGCUUAAAGCGUGUGUAGGCGGAUUUGUAAGUACCUUGUGAAGUCCCACGGCUUAACCGUGGAACUGCUGGGUAUACUGCUUAUCUUGGGCCAUCUAGGGGCGAGCGGAACAAACGGUGGAGCGGUGAAAUGCGUAGAUAUCGUUUGGAACGCCAAUGGUGAAAACAGCUCGCUGGGGAUGUGCCGACGCUGAGACACGAAAGCCAGGGGAGCGAACGGG
rnacentral:rRNA from 1 species